rnacentral:rRNA from 1 species
GUGAGGAAUAUUGGACAAUGGGCGCAAGCCUGAUCCAGCCAUGCCGCGUGCAGGAAGACGCAUCUAUGGUGUGUAAACUGCUUUUGUACGGGAAGAAACACUCCCUCGUGAGGGAGCUUGACGGUACCGUAAGAAUAAGGAUCGGCUAACUCCGUGCCAGCAGCCGCGGUAAUACGGAGGAUCCAAGCGUUAUGCGGAAUCAUUGGGUUUAAAGGGUCCGUAGGCGGUUUAAUAAGUCAGUGGUGAAAGCCCAUCGCUCAACGAUGGAACGGCCAUUGAUACUGUUAGACUUGAAUUACAAGGAAGUAACUAGAAUAUGUAGUGUAGCGGUGAAAUGCUUAGAUAUUACAUGGAAUACCAAUUGCGAAGGCAGGUUACUACUUGUGGAUUGACGCUGAUGGACGAAAGCGUGGGGAGCGAACAGGAUUAGAUACCCGGGUAGUCC